rnacentral:rRNA from 1 species
AAACCAACAGGGAUUGCCCUAGUAACGGCGAGUGAAGCGGCAACAGCUCAAAUUUGAAAUCUGGCGCUUGCGUCCGAGUUGUAAUUUGUAGAGGAUGCUUUUGGCGCGGUGCCUUCCGAGUUCCCUGGAACGGGACGCCAUAGAGGGUGAGAGCCCCGUACGGUUGGACACUAAGCCUCUGUAAAGCUCCUUCGACGAGUCGAGUAGUUUGGGAAUGCUGCUCUAAAUGGGAGGUAAAUUUCUUCUAAAGCUAAAUACCGGCCAGAGACCGAUAGCGCACAAGUAGAGUGAUCGAAAGAUGAAAAGCACUUUGAAAAGAGGGUUAAAUAGCACGUGAAAUUGUUAAAAGGGAAGGGUUUAUGACCAGACUUGUGCCUGGCGGAUCAUCCGGUGUUCUCACCGGUGCACUUCGCCUGGUUCAGGCCAGCAUCGGUUUCUGUAGGGGGAUAAAGGCUCUGGGAAUGUGGCUCCCUCCGGGGAGUGUUAUAGCCCGCUGCGUAAUACCCUUUACGGGGACCGAGGUUCGCGCUUCUGCAAGAUGCUGGCGUAAUGGUCAUUAACCAC